rnacentral:rRNA from 1 species
UGGCGACGAGUGGCGAACGGGUGAGUAAUGCAUCGGAACGUAUCCAUUUGUGGGGGAUAGCCCGGCGAAAGCCGGAUUAAUACCGCAUAAUCUCUGAGGAGGAAAGUGGGGGACCUUCGGGCCUUACGCUGAUGGAGCGGCCGAUAUCUGAUUAGCUUGUUGGUAGGGUAAAAGCCUACCAAGGCGACGAUCAGUAGCUGGUUUGAGAGGAUGAUCAGCCACACUGGGACUGAGACACGGCCCAGACUCC